GGUGAGUAACACGUGGGAAACCUGCCCAGAAGCGGGGGGAUAACACCUGGAAACAGAUGCUAAUACCGCAUAACAACUUGGACCGCAUGGUCCGAGUUGAAAGAUGGCUUCGGCUAUCACUUUUGGAUGGUCCCGCGGCGUAUUAGCUAGAUGGUGGGGUAACGGCUCACCAUGGCAAUGAUACGUAGCCGACCUGAGAGGGUAAUCGGCCACAUUGGGACUGAGACACGGCCCAAACUCCUACGGGAGGCAGCAGUAGGGAAUCUUCCACAAUGGACGAAAGUCUGAUGGAGCAACGCCGCGUGAGUGAAGAAGGGUUUCGCUCGUAAAACUCUGUUGUUAAAGAAGAACAUAUCUGAGAGUAACUGUUCAGGUAUUGACGGUAUUUAACCAGAAAGCCACGGCUAACUACGUGCCAGCAGCCGCGGUAAUACGUAGGUGGCAAGCGUUGUCCGGAUUUAUUGGGCGUAAAGCGAGCGCAGGCGGUUUUUUAAGUCUGAUGUGAAAGCCUUCGGCUCAACCGAAGAAGUGCAUCGGAAACUGGGAAACUUGAGUGCAGAAGAGGACAGUGGAACUCCAUGUGUAGCGGUGAAAUGCGUAGAUAUAUGGAAGAACACCAGUGGCGAAGGCGGCUGUCUGGUCUGUAACUGACGCUGAGG
rnacentral:rRNA from 1 species